CCGGCCAGCUCCGCCCCUGCCCCGCGGGCUGGCCCCAAAGGGCUGCCGGACCCUAGGACCCGAGGCGAACCUGUCUCGCUAGAAGCCGGACCUUGGCGAGUCGAUGGUUCAAGGUAGCUGCUUCCCUUCCUUGUGUCCUCGUCCACCUGCUCCAGCCAUGUGUGCAGCGGAGUUGUCGCUCUGGUCUUCAAAACUAGGUGACAGAACGGUGGAAAAGUCCGAAGUGUUCCAUGUUUGCAGGAGUCAGAGACCAGGCCCCCGGGGACUCUGAUUUCCAGCGUUGUGCGAGUGUGGGGCAUAACUGUGGGAAGUGUUGCCUGAGGAGAACUCGUUUCAUCGGUGGGGCUUCUAGAUGGGUGAGGAGGGACAGAUUUUACUUUUGUUACUCAUUUGUUUUUCCUGUCAUGAACUGGAUGAAGAAUCAACCUACUGAGGGUCUCCACAGAGGAAAGACAGCCGAGAUCCCUGGAUUCACCACAGCAGAGUGGGGCCUGCAUCUCCAGACUAGGAAUGCAUUCCUGAUCCACCCGUGCUGUGUGAGCUGACCAUGUGUAAGAAGCCGUCUGCAACUCCAGAGACUCUGGGAGACUGCUUUAGUCACUCUGGAGGCUGACUAAUCUACGCAUGGCAGAAGCUUGAGGAACUGAUGGUCCGGUGGAACGAAUAGAUUGUCUUCAUUUCCUAUAUCUGUUUACUGUAUUAUCACCCCUUGUUUCUUGCUGUUGUUGUGAUCCUUGCCCUACUUUUCACCAUAGGAUUGGCAGAGGCCACCCCAUCUGACUGGAGGUGUGGUGAGAGUUUCUGUUAGGGCUCACCUUUCCUUUAUGGAUAGGACACUCCGUUGGUAUUGAUUGUUUCUAAUCUGCACCCCUUCUGUAGACCGAGGUUUCACAUCAUGUGAUCUAUGUAUCGCAUAACCAGGUCAGGCCAGGGAGCUGCUUAGACCUUUCUAUACCAUACCCACUUCUCAUGCCAUGGGACAGUGGGCACCUGUAGACACAAUAAGACCACCUGCUUUGUCUGCCAACCAGAGAGUCAAUACUUGUUUUGUCUUGCAGUACUCCCCAACUGAGGAAUGGUUGGAGAUCUGACACCCCUAGGAUAGGGGGCAAUUAAUCAAUAAACCCAAGGUUACUAAUCCCAACCUGCCGGUAUUAGCACUUUUAUUGGUACUUUUUGAUGUGUGUUCAUCUAUUAAUAAAAACUCUUUCUUCUUCCAAAAUUGUGGAGAUCUAUGAUGGGAAUGAGAGUACAGGCUGUAUGGCAAGUACAUGUGUGAACAGGCCUCACCCCAGUCCACACAUUAUGCUGACCAUUGGACUUACUGCCCCUAUUAGAGCUGUGUCUCUUGGGCCACUGAGAAAGGCAAAGAAAGGUGGUUCUCCUCCAAAAGGGGGCUGCCACUUCUAGCUAUAAAUUGGGAGCCUGUAACCCCAUUAAUUUUACUAUCUUUGAUCCAGGAGACCCAAAAUGGCCUUAGGAUUGGUGUAUAUGUACAUGGGCAGCACACUGACACAGGAAUCCCCAGCUUCAACUCCUGAGGUCUUUCAUUCCUUUUAUGAGGAAAUGGAAAGUCGCCGUCCUCCCAUCUCUGCUACAACAAAAGCUUGUUUGUAACCCUAACAAAGACUAUAGCCCAGAUUCUAAAGAUCUCUUCUUGCUGUGUAUGUGGGGGCUCAAUGGCCAUGGGAGGCUAGAUAAUUAGAUCCCUAUGAAUCUUUGAAUAAGAUACCCCAAAACCUCAAUUAUUAGGAAGAACUGCCUUGCCUGGUGGAGAGAAGUUUCCAUCAUACCUGGCCUGAAUGAGAUCUCCACAGAAAACAUGCCAUUCUCUGCAAACAACAGGCUGCUCUCACUAAAUAGGACAAUAGCUGUAAAGAAAAUUCAGGAAGGAGUAUGCAAUCUCCCCAGUGCUGAGAAUUCCGGUGAUUAUCUGGACACCUUUGCUGACCAUCCUUGGACCCUCAGUCAUAAACAUUCUUUAUGAUCAUAGCCCCUUCCCUAGCCCUACAUAAACUUAAUUUCUUUCUCAGCUAGCUGCUAAUCUCCCUCUCUCCCUCUUUCUCUCCCUCUGUCUCUCUCUGUCAGCCCAUCUCCAUGGAUGAAGUAAAUUUGGCUCUUCCCAGAUAGCUGCUAAAAUCUGCCCCGAUUUCAGUUCCUCUUCACACCAAGACAGGAAUAAAGCUUUUUCUCACACAAAGCCUGUGUUUAAAUGGCUUAUCACAUGCCAUUUAUAACAAGUUCAAUGUCUCUGUUGGAAGCCUAAUGUGAAUAGACCAAAGAUAUUAUAACUCAACUGCCUGGGAAACCCAGCA
rnacentral:lncRNA from 1 species